GCCGCAAUAGCUCAGUUGGUAGAGCAACGCAUUCGUAAUGCGUGGGUCAGGGGUUCGAAUCCUCUUUGCGGCACCA
rnacentral:tRNA from 2 species